GAUAACAUUUAAUUUGAUAAACAUUUUGUCGGAGAAUUAUUGUAAUAGUUUUAUUUAUUAUUUGCUAAGAUUCUUAUACGGACGUAUUCAAGUUACAAUUACCUUAAACACAAGGCAGUACAUUAAAUUACGGAGUUCUCUAGUAAUAAACCUACAUAAUAAAAAUGUCGAAUAUAUUAGAAAGAGUUCGUAAAUUUGUAAAGCAUUGGUAUGUAAGAUAUUUAGUCGCUACAGAAUUGUACAUGGUGGAACCAUGGGAGAAAGCAUUUAUACAUGUACUUUUUGUGCUGGUCUUUGCUCUGUUCUGGUACUUCAAUUAUUCCAUUGUAUUGAAUGGAAUUCUGCAAAUACGAGAAA